AGAAGCUGUCACCGAGCCAGGAAAAUGAAAUUCUCACUCGGGCAGUUAACUUUAGAUCGACGAAACGACGAUCUAAGAAGCUUGUACAUACACGCGACAUAUCGUCGCGUCGAGUUUGCGUUAGCGCCUGCCUGCUACUGCUGAGCGAGUCACGAGCGUAGCAUAUUAAUUUCGUUAACACGUGUUAACUGGAAAGGGACUAAUUAAUCACACGGUGGUGCUCGAUCGAUCGACGCCUUGAUAAAGAUCUCAUUUUAUCAUCAUCUAUCGAGGAGUCCAUGUGGACAAGUCGCCGAGAUGAUCAGCGUUACAAUAAUCUUGACUGUCGCAACACUUUAAUCUUGGCCAGGGCAUUCGUAUCCAAGGUCUCGUCGACGAGACACGACGAUUUUCAACGAUUUCGUCUUCCUCGUCGUCGUGAAGAGACGACGACGACGACGACGACGAUGACAACGUCGAUAGCUUUGACCUCGUGACCCAAGACUUUGUCUCGCACAACAAUGGCGUCGGGCUCCUGGAAAACGGCAAUCCAUCGUCUAUACGUACAUAAAUACAUAUGAAUAUAUACAUAUAUCACGCUAAAGAUAAAUAAACUAUAAUAUUCUGUGA